CCCAGCCCCGCUAGGGCAGCCGGCGUCUCCCUCAGAGGCAGUCGUGGGGCCGGCCGGUCACUGAGCCAGGCCGCAGGCGUUUGACCAGUGCCGGCCUCCACCUGCCCGCAGACCUUGUCUCGGUUCUCUCCGUUGGUGGACCCCCAAGUGACUCGUGGAUGUCCACAGUGCAAGGCCUUAGACGCCAGGUCCUAUGCUACAGCUGGAGACACCAUGAUGAAUAAAAUGCCUUUGAAUGUUGCCAGGUAGCAUGACAUCAUUCAUGAGGAGCUGUGGGGCCAUGGCAGAACCUGACUCAGGUCAGGCCCAGAGAAGACUACUGAAAGAACAAAGCGUUUGCUGGAAGUUGUGUUCUUGGUGGAAGGAAGGACACAUCCAAAGGUCAG